rnacentral:rRNA from 1 species
UGGGGAAUAUUGCACAAUGGGCGCAAGCCUGAUGCAGCCAUGCCGCGUGUAUGAAGAAGGCCUUCGGGUUGUAAAGUACUUUCAGCGGGGAGGAAGGGAGUAAAGUUAAUACCUUUGCUCAUCGACGUCACCCGCAGAAGAAGCACCGGCUAACUCCGUGCCAGCAGCCGCGGUAAUACGGAGGGUGCAAGCGUUAAUCGGAAUUACUGGGCGUAAAGCGCACGCAGGCGGUUUGUUAAGUCAGAUGUGAAAUCCCCGGGCUCAACCUGGGAACUGCAUCUGAUACUGGCAGGCUUGAGUCUCGUAGGGGGGGGUAGAAUUCCAGGUGUAGCGGUGAAAUGCGUAGAGAUCUGGAGGAAUACCGGUGGCGAAGGCGGCCCCCUGGACGAAGACUGACGCUCAGGUGCGAAAGCGUGGGGGGCAAACAGG